AAAAAACACCCUCUUCUGUCCACCAUUUUAGAGAGAGAAAAGGAAUUUCUCAGCUGCUUUCCUAUCUGACAUCCAAAUGGAAAAGACAAGAGACCAGGCUGUUUCCUCACUGCAUUAGAGGUGAGAGGAAGCAGGAUAGGAAGAGGUCAGGAAGCAGCCAACAAAAGGAGAAAACUGCCCCCAGCCCUUCUCUACACUACUGCUCGCAUGAAAUUCGGGGAGAGAAUGGCAGCCAAGGAGGAGGAGGGAGAAAAGCCACCUUUCCUGCAGGGGCAACAACACUGGCAUACCAAGUGUCUGCCAGGGGGCCCGGGGACCAUCCCCUACACCUUGCCAUCCUCCCUGUCUCAGCAGCCGUGCAGUUCUGCCCGUGCAGCUGGGACAGCCCGAAUGCACGAUGCUGGAAAUCCCAGCGCAACCAGGCGUGGGGCAGCGCCCCAGGGUGAGGAGAGGGACACAGCACCUGGGUAGCACCACCGAGCGGCUAAGUCACAGGGAAGACAAGAUCGGUUUAUGUUGUUUCUAUUUCAGCCUGGGCAGGGCUAGACUACAGCAAGUCUUGACAACACUCCUUGUUCAAACACAAGUCUAUUUGCUUUAAUUAAGGUAAGCUAGGGAAAGAGUUAAAACUGAAAUUGUAGACAGAGAAUGCAUCUAUGCCCCAGUUUCCCUCUGCACUGCUCUCGUAGUACCCCCAACCCUGGAUAUUUAUUCUGUUAAAUACUUUACAUUUAGAGAGAGAAAGGGGUACUGAGAGUCUCGGCCCCAUCUUCCCAUUUGCAGGACUGCUGUAAUGCACUAAGCAAUGUCCCGCGCUAAUAUUUAACCAUGGGAAUUCAGCAGGCAGCCUCCAAACCACUAAUCUGAGCAUAAACCAGCUCUACCUCUGAGCAGCCCCACGAAGGCAGAGCAGGGAUAUUCACCAUCAGUGACCCGGGUACGCUUAUUGAAGUGUUGGCUGGGAAAUGCUUACAGGUCCUUCACGUCGUUGUCUCCUGAAUGGUAGCAAAUCCAUACGUACAAUGAUCGAGAUAGGUGUGCAAUCCGAUUGCUUUUAUUGAGUAAUAGUCUGAUAGCUACAAUGGUGAAUUAGAAGAAAAAAAGAAAAAAAGGAAAAAAAAAA